GUCCAUGGACUUUUGAUGCAAAGCCAGAACAGGUAGAGCCUGAAGGAAUGUUGACCAAAUGUCUGUCCCUGGUGUGGAGAGUGAAAACACUCAGACUGAAGCCAUUGUUUUGACAUUGAUGUAAGAAGAGGAGCCCCAUCUGUGUGGGCAGGUGGCCCUCUCAUGCUCGUCCUACCUACCCACCUCAACAGGAUUUGGGUCUUCAUCCAGAAUGUGUUCUUCGAGAACAGUAACUCCCACAGGCAAAGCAGCAUCUGGCCGUGUGGGUGAUCUAUUCUCCAGCCUCUCAAAGUUGUGUAGGGGAGGCAGAGGGAGAGGAAGAGAGAGAGAGACUAUCCAGCAGACUCCCUGCUGAGCAAGAAGCCCACCCUUGGGCUUCAUCCCAUGACCCUGAGAUCAUGACUGAACCAAAGUCAAGAGCCGGACCCUCAACCGACUGAGCCACCCAGGCGCCCCUGAAGGAAAACAGUUCUGAUAUGCACAGUUGAGUUUGAAGCUAGUUUUUCUGGAUUUG
rnacentral:lncRNA from 1 species